rnacentral:rRNA from 1 species
AGCAGCCGCGGUAAUUCCAGCUCCAAUAGCGUAUAUUAAAGUUGUUGCAGUUAAAAAGCUCGUAGUUGAAUUUCGGAAUCAGUACGCUGGUCGUGCCUUCGGUAUGUACUGGUGUCACUGAUUCCUCCCUUCUGAAGAACCAUCAUGCCAUUCACUUGGUGUGGUGGGGAAUCAGGACUGUUACUUUGAAAAAAUUAGAGUGUUUAAAGCAGGCUCGCGCUUGAAUACAUUAGCAUGGAAUAAUGAAAUAGGACGUUAAUCCUAUUUUGUUGGUUUCUAGGAUCGACGUAGUGAUUAAUAGGGAUAGUUGGGGGCAUUAGUAUUCAAUUGUCAGAGGUGAAAUUCUUGGAUU